rnacentral:rRNA from 1 species
UACGUAGGAGGCAAGCGUUGUCCGGAAUUACUGGGUGUAAAGCGCGUGUAGGCGGCAGGCCAAGUCUGUGGUGAAAUCGCUCGGCUCAACUGGGCGGGGUCCAUGGAAACUGGUCAGCUGGAGGACGGUAGAGGUGAGUGGAAUUCCCGGUGUAGUGGUGAAAUGCGUAGAGAUCGGGAGGAACACCCGUGGCGAAGGCGGCUCACUGGGCCGGUCCUGACGCUGAGGAGCGAAAGCCAGGGGAGCAAACGGG